UACGUAGGGGGCAAGCGUUGUCCGGAAUCACUGGGCGUAAAGCGCGCGCAGGCGGUCUUUCACGUCCGGGGUGAAAGCCCAGAGCUCAACUCUGGGAUUGCCUUGGAUACGGGGAGACUUGAGGAUCGGAGAGGCAAGGGGAAUUCCACGUGUAGCGGUGAAAUGCGUAGAGAUGUGGAGGAACACCUGUGGCGAAGGCGCCUUGCUGGCCGAUUUCUGACGCUGAGGAGCGAAAGCGUGGGUAGCAAACAGG
rnacentral:rRNA from 1 species